rnacentral:rRNA from 1 species
CCGAUUGCUGACGCGGAGGGACAUUACAGAGUUGCAAAACUCCCUAAACCAUUGUGAACCUACCACUAAACAGUUGCUUCGGCGGGUGGCGCGACGGCCCCUUCACGGGGGCAGGAGCGCCCUAGACAGCCCGCCGGAGGUACUCAAACUCUUGUUUACCACAGGCCUCUCUGAGUAUUGUACUUAAAUAAGUCAAAACUUUCAACAACGGAUCUCUUGGUUCUGGCAUCGAUGAAGAACGCAGCGAAAUGCGAUAAGUAAUGUGAAUUGCAGAAUUCAGUGAAUCAUCGAAUCUUUGAACGCACAUUGCGCCCGCCAGUAUUCUGGCGGGCAUGCCUGUUCGAGCGUCAUUUCAACCAUCAAGCCCAGCGCUUGUGUUGGGGACCCGCGGCUGCCGCGGGCCCUUAAAGACAGUGGCGGUCUCGCUGUAGUACCGAGCGUAGUAACAUACAUCUCGCUCUGGGAGCUGCGCGUGCACCUGCCGUAAAACCCCCACCUCUCACAAGGUUGACCUCGGAUCAGGUAGGAAUACCCGCUGAACUUAAGCAUAUCAUAAGGCCGGGAAGAAA